GACGAACGCUGGCGGCGUGCUUAACACAUGCAAGUCGAACGGAAAGGCCCUGCUUUUGUGGGGUGCUCGAGUGGCGAACGGGUGAGUAACACGUGAGUAACCUGCCCUUGACUUUGGGAUGACUUCAGGAAACUGGGGCUAAUACCGGAUAGGAGCUCCUGCUGCAUGGUGGGGGUUGGAAAGUUUCGGCGGUUGGGGAUGGACUCGCGGCUUAUCAGCUUGUUGGUGGGGUAGUGGCUUACCAAGGCUUUGACGGGUAGCCGGCCUGAGAGGGUGACCGGCCACAUUGGGACUGAGAUACGGCCCAGACUCCUACGGGAGGCAGCAGUGGGGAAUAUUGCACAAUGGGCGGAAGCCUGAUGCAGCAACGCCGCGUGCGGGAUGACGGCCUUCGGGUUGUAAACCGCUUUCGCCUGUGACGAAGCGUGAGUGACGGUAAUGGGUAAAGAAGCACCGGCUAACUACGUGCCAGCAGCCGCGGUGAUACGUAGGGUGCGAGCGUUGUCCGGAUUUAUUGGGCGUAAAGGGCUCGUAGGUGGUUGAUCGCGUCGGAAGUGUAAUCUUGGGGCUUAACCCUGAGCGUGCUUUCGAUACGGGUUGACUUGAGGAAGGUAGGGGAGAAUGGAAUUCCUGGUGGAGCGGUGGAAUGCGCAGAUAUCAGGAGGAACACCAGUGGCGAAGGCGGUUCUCUGGGCCUUUCCUGACGCUGAGGAGCGAAAGCGUGGGGAGCGAACAGGCUUAGAUACCCUGGUAGUCCACGCUGUAAACGGUGGGUACUAGGUGUGGGGUCCAUUCCACGGGUUCCGUGCCGUAGCUAACGCUUUAAGUACCCCGCCUGGGGAGUACGGCCGCAAGGCUAAAACUCAAAGGAAUUGACGGGGCCCCGCACAAGCGGCGGAGCAUGCGGAUUAAUUCGAUGCAACGCGUAGAACCUUACCUGGGUUUGACAUGGAUCGGGAGUGCUCAGAGAUGGGUGUGCCUCUUUUGGGGUCGGUCCACAGGUGGUGCAUGCCUGUCGUCAGCUCGUGUCGUGAGAUGUUGGGUUAAGUCCCGCAACGAGCGCAACCCUUGUUCACUGUUGCCAGCACGUUAUGGUGGGGACUCAGUGGAGACCGCCGGGGUCAGCUCGGAGGAAGGUGGGGAUGACGUCAAGUCCUCAUGCCCCUUAUGUCCAGGGCUUCACGCAUGCUACAAUGGCUGGUACAGAGAGUGGCGAGCCUGUGAGGGUGAGCGAAUCUCGGAAAGCCGGUCUCAGUUCGGAUUGGGGUCUGCAACUCGACCUCAUGAAGUCGGAGUCGCUAGUAAUCGCAGAUCAGCAACGCUGCGGUGAAUACGUUCCCGGGGCU
rnacentral:rRNA from 1 species